CUUUCAAUAAUGGAUGCAUUUAACAUUUAAUUUUACAGCAUCUUUACAGAGGUGUAAUGUACAAGCUGCACGUAAUUAAUAAUAUGUCCUUCCUUCUGUCUUACAGGAUUUUUUCCAGAUAAUGCUGUUCUUCUUUUUCAGGUCUAAAAUAUCGAGCUCAACAGCUAUUUUAAGAGCCAACCCUCACAAACCUUCCUAAAACCUAAAAGAGCUAUUACUGAGUCUCAGCGAAUCUUGCCAUGAUCAGCUCUUCCCAGAAGAGAAGGAAGACCAAGGAAAUGAUUUGCUCAGGAUGAGAAAUGAAGAUGGCCAUCUUGUGCUCAAACAAACAGAAGUCCUCUGAUGAUCUCAUCAGCCAAAUGAGGGGUUUUGACCAAGUGAUGCUCUUGAAAGGAGAGAAAGAAGAGGAUGUGGUAAAUUCUCUUCAGAGAAAAAGCUUCUCAAAAGGUCUUAAAACAGCUUGAAGAAUGGU